AUUGAACGCUGGUGGCAGGCCUCACACAUGCAAGUCGAACGAGUGGCGGACGGGUGAGUAAUGUCUGGGAUACUGCCCGACGGAGGGGGGUACCUACUGGAAACGGUAGCUAAUACCUCAUACCAUAGGAUGCGCCCAGAUGGGAUUAGCUAGUAGGUGGGGUAACGGCUCAACUAGGCGACGAUCCCUAGCUGGUCUGGGAGGAUGACCAGCCAUACUGGAACUGCGACACGGUCCAGACUCCGACGGGAGGCAGCAGUGGGGAAUAUUGCACAAUGGGCGCAAGCCUGAUGCAGCCAUGCCGCGUGUAUGAAGAAGGCCUUCGGGUUGUAAAGUACUUUCAGCGAGGAGGCGUUACUCGCAGAAGAAGCACCGGCUAACUCCGUGCCAGCAGCCGCGGUAAUUC
rnacentral:rRNA from 1 species